AACGCAAAUUUAACAGCCAUUCGUAACACGUACAGUAUCUCGUCGAGGUUGAACCCCUCCGGGGCGUUCUUGACCCAUGAAGAAUGUGGAUUGGUGUUGCAAUAUAUUUAUUAUUGGCUUGGACUGGAGAACAAAUUUAUCGAUCUUGGGUGCAACAGUCUUUCUGUCGUCUGUUUUUUUAGCAGAUCUAAGGGUUUACCUUCGUGUGCCCGGAUGAGGACCGUUGCAAGGAUUGAUAAUACAACU
rfam:Saccharomyces cerevisiae Lalvin QA23 chromosome VII QA23_c7_35, whole genome shotgun sequence.